UACAGAGGUCCCAAGCGUUGUUCGGAUUCACUGGGCGUAAAGGGUGCGUAGGUGGUCAGGGAAGUCCGAUGUGAAAUCUCCAGGCUCAACCUGGAAAUGGCAUUGGAUACUAUUUGGCUUGAGGAGUGGAGGGGGGACUGGAAUUCUCGGUGUAGCAGUGAAAUGCGUAGAUAUCGAGAGGAACACCAGUGGCGAAGGCGAGUCCCUGGACAGUUCCUGACACUGAGGCACGAAAGCUAGGGGAGCAAACAGG
rnacentral:rRNA from 1 species